AAUGCUUCAGUUUACUCGUGCUUCACCACUGACAAAUUACUGUAAAAUAAUUCUUUUUCAUUUUCUUACCAAAUCCCUCGACUCAAGUGAAAACUAUUAUAGUUUAAUUUAUUUUUACAAUGUUGAUCAACGAACUUCCUAAUGAUUGUUUGCUCAUCAUUUUUGAUCAGAUGAAUUACCUGGGUGAUUUAAUAAACUGCUCUAAAGGUAAUUAUGUUUCUUUGUAUAAUGAAAAUCUUUUAUUUCCAUUGAAAGUGGUGUGUCACGAAAAACUGGCUCUCGUCAAAGUGUGUAUUAAAUGGAACCAUUUAGUUGUUAAACGGACUAAAAAAGUUAAAUAUUUUAUGGAGGAUCCUGACUAUUCAUCUGACUAUGUCUAUUAUCGAGGAAGAGGUCCGUUUGAUGUAACCUGUUUGAGCACAUUAUUUCCAAAUUUAAAAAUUGCUGAAUUUUCUCAUAAAAUGGAAAGAAAAGUGGAAUUUGAAGAUAUUGUUGCAUUCGUCAAAAACCAUGAAUCUUUGAAAGGAUUAUUACUAGGAUAUUUUUUUACUAGACCAAUAGAAGAACACUGUGAUAAACUCGAAAUGCUAUCCGUCGAUACUUUAGAUCCAAGCAUUAUACAAAAUGGUUCGAGUAUAAAACAAUUGUACAUUCUGAUUUGUACUCUAGAUGAUUUCAAAAGAGAUGCUCAUCAUUUCCCAAACCUUGAAAGACUACAUAUUGUUAGUAAUGAAGCCCCAUACAGUUACUACGAUGGUCCAGUAUUGGAAAAGCUUAAAAUUGUUGAGCUGGGCUUUACAUUUACUUAUGAUACAGACAUUUGCUAUGGUUUCCAUUUCAUGGAUUCAUGUCCGAAUUUACAAAGUGCCCACAUUUUCUUGGAUUCUCAUCGAUUUUUUGUCGAUGAAACAAUCAAACACAAAUGUUUACAAGAUUUAGUUAUAGAUUUUGGCGGUCCUUCUCGAAUCAACUGGAAUGAUUUAAAAAGAUUGCUUAUGAAGUACCCGAAUCUCAAACAUCUUGGGUUGAGGGGCGCACGUAACAUAAAAGAUGAACACAUAAAGCAAUUGGUUCACAUUUUACCCAAUUUAGUGUUGUUCCAGGUUACUGUAUGUGAGGAAAUCACUCAAAGUGCUGCUGGUUAUAUUAAAGAUUAUUGUGAAAAAUAUGGAAGAUCAAUCAAAUUUUACUUCGAUGAGAAUUUCAGUGAAAUCGAGUCAGAUUGGCCUCAGUUAUCCACUAAACAAGAAAAAAUUAGUCGAGGCUUUGAUUUCAUGAAACACUGCUUUCUUAAAUUUAUUCAUCGCGUUCCAAAUUUCUUGAUUCCUAUUGAUUAUUGAAAAUCACAUACUUAACACAUGCAAUAAUAUAUUUUUGACCUUGCAAGCCCACUCAAAGCUUGAAAAUCUCCUUUCUUUAAUCAAUUAAAAAAUUAUAAUAUAUUUUCUGGUGGACUUGAAAAGUUAAAUCAGACAAAUAACUUUCAUUAAAAAAUCUGUUUUCGAUCGAAGUUUCAACUUUAACCCAACUUUUCUCAUGAAAAUGAAUCCAACAAAUUAUCUCAAUCUAAUGCUGACAUCUAUGGGAACUACAGGGGAACAAUAAUAAAUGAUACAUUCUGAUGAUCAAUCAGAUCCAGUGAUUCAGCAUUGAAUUUUUCACUCAAUCACCAGACUCAAGUGAAAACAGAAAUUUACCUAAUUUAUUUAAAAUGUUGAUCAAUGAACUUCCCGAUGAUUGUUUGCUCUCCAUAUUUGAUUAUAUGAAUGACCUGGGUGAUUUAAUAAACUGCUAUAAAGUGUGUAUUAAAUGGAGCCAUUUAGUUGCUGAGCGAACUAAAAAAGUGAAAUAUUUUAUGGAGUAUCGUUAUGAUCAUCGACUUGAACAUGGCCGUGAUGUUCCUGAUUAUUCAUUUGAUUGUGUUUAUUAUGAAGACGAAGAUCCGAUUGAUGUAACCUGUCUCAGCACAUUAUUUACAAAUUUAAUAAUUGCUGAAUUGUCGUGGGGACUCACAAGGAAAG